rnacentral:rRNA from 1 species
CCCUUAGAUGUUCUGGGCCGCACGCGCGCUACACUGAUGCAUUCAACGAGCCUAUCCUUGACCGACAGGUCCGGGUAAUCUUUGAAUCUGCAUCGUGACGGGGAUAGAUUAUUGCAAUUAUUAAUUUUCAACGAGGAAUGCCUAGUAGGCGCAAGUCAUCAGCUUGCGUCGAUUACGUCCCUGCCCUUUGUACACACCGCCCGUCGCUCCUACCGAUUGGGUGUGCUGGUGAAAUGUUCGGAUCGGCCGUUUGUCGCGGUUUCCGCGGCUCGUGGCUGAGAAGUUCAUUAAACCCUCCCACCUAGAGGAAGGAGAAGUCGUAACA